CCGGCUUCCGUAGGAGUCCGGAUAGAGUUUACCAUCAGUCGAAGUCGGGGAUGAAGCCCGGCUCCCGUAGGAGUCCGGGCGGAGUCCACCUGCAAUUGACGUCGGGGGUGAAGUCCGGCUCCCGUAGGAGUCCGGAUGAAGUCUUCCUGCAGCCAGAGUUGGGGACGAGGUUCGCUCCCGUAGGAGUCCUGGCAGAGUCUUCCUGCAGCCGGAGUUGGGG
rnacentral:lncRNA from 1 species